GACAAGUGUCUGGAAUUAGUCAACAGAAAACACAUAAUAUUCCAUCAGGACAAUGCAAGACCACAUGUUUCUUUGAUGAUGAACCAAAAAUUGUUACAGCUUGGCUGGGAAUUUCUGACUUAU